ensembl:lncRNA
CGAUACCCCUGGACAGGGCCAAGCAGGCAGGAUAUAACCCCACCCACUUCUCCAAAGCACAGCCCCCACACCACUAGGGGGAUAUCUUCAACCACCAACUUACCAUCCUGAGACAAGGCCGAGCAUAGCCUACAAAGAUCUCCCCCACAGCACAACCAAAGGGGAGGUGCCAAACUGGACAGGAAGAUCACGUUACAGAGGAGGUUCACUCCAUUCUGAGGUUGUUGCUUCCUUUGACAGGAUCCAGCCCAGUAGAACCGUCUGGUCAGGAGAACAGUCUGGAUACAGCACUGGUUCUGCUGCAGAACGUGGCACGCAAACUAGCAUUGAACCACACAGCACAGGAUUCCAAGUCCGGGGGUCGUAGAGAAAAUGAUGUGGAUGGCAGUGCUGUUCUACAACAGGCACUACAGGACAGAGACGAUGCCUUGGAGAAGAAGAAGGCCAUGGAGGCGGAGCUUCUUCGCAGUAAGACAGAGAUGAUGUUACUUAACAACCAGCUGCUGGAGGCCGUGCAGAAAAGACUGGAGCUCGCUUUGGAAGUAGAGGACUGGAAGGACGAUGUCCAGAUGAUCCUCCAGCAACAGCUCCGGAGCCAGCAACAACAGGCAGCAGAACAAGCCCAGAGGAAGCCGUCCCGUCUGGGGCUGCUGAGGAGGACCAACAGACCCCCCCUCCAGAGGCCAGCCUCUACCCCCUUGACCUACACCACUGGACAGGUUCCCGUUAGUACCCGCGUCCCUUCCCCCUCUCCCACCCCCCAAUGUACCCCUGUCACCUGGAGGGACAGGCUGAAAAGGGGGAAGGUGGGUCGUCAUAGUGGCCAGGAUGCAGAGCAGGCAUUGCAGGCAUCGCGGUCGUCGAGCGGCAGCAGACUGGAGGAGGGGUUUCAUACCAUAGACUUAUAAUAACACAUCAUACACAAAAUGAUAUGCAUUUAAGGGAGGGAUACAACUCAUAUCUAUGUACUGUAUUUACUGGUAGCUACUUUAUCAAUCUUUCUAACUGUGGAUUCUUACUGGGAGAGAUACAUUGAGCUGAUAGUUAGAUACAGAAUCACAAGCAGAUUCAUUCUCCAAUCUACUAGUACUGUGCACCGCUCUGAUCUGUUUGGCUUUAGGAAAAUAUUUUUCAGAGAAUUAUGUCUAUUGGUGCCUGGAUACUACAUUUAGGUUGGAGAUUUUCCCUCCAACUCUAGGCAUACAUUUUCUAUUGUAAUGACAAGCAGUCAUGUUGACUGUAACACGUGUCUCUGAUUAAAGGGGCAAUCCUUAGUUGCUAGGGCAACAUACAUUUUUGGACAUAGAAAUGAAUGAUAUCUGCCCAUUGAUUCUUGAAGAAUAUAACAUAUAAAUGCAUAUCAAUGCCUAAUGAGCUUAGUUCAACUGUCAUAGUCCAUCAGAACCCAAAAUAUAAGCUUGUUUUACUCCAAUGUUUGUAAAUAUAAAUGUAAACAAACAGGGCCAAUUGCAACCACUGAUGGCCACUAGAUUAUCGCCAGCCGAUCUCUCGUUAAACCAAAAUUUAUGUUGCUGUAGCAAAUAAGGAUUGACCCUUUAAUCAGACUAAGAGAUUGGAGAAUGAGUCUGCUUGUGACUGUGUAUCUAACCAGAGGGUGAAAUUGAGAGGUGGCACCACAGGUUCCAAAGUGGUGUGGCACUGGUCAGGUAAAACUCUGGGCCCUAUUCGUAGGCUAUGAUAAAAUAUUAUUAUUAUAGAUAGAACAGAUGAAAAGGGAAGCUAUGAAUAGGGCUGGAGUUUUUCUUGUCAAGACAUGUGAAUUGGAAACACUCCUGGCCUAAGGUGAAUCAAACCCUUUCAAACUCCUACAAACCUUGUUAUUGUUCAUUCUGAAGCCUUUAUGUAUGGCAGAGUUACAUUUAGCACUAUACUCAGUAUAAUUUGUAACAAGCCAGGGUUACAUUUAAUAUUAUACACAGUAAAAUUUGUAACAAUGUUUUUUUUAAUGUGUAAGUCAUAAAACCACUAACUUUGUGUCAUUGUCCUGGUCUCCAUCUGGGCUACCAGAGGUUGGAUCCCUGCUUCUCACUGUUGGAACUGAUUGCCUGUAAAAUCCAUAUUGUCAAUCAUUAAAUCAACUACUUUAAACAUUUUUAUUGAAAAUUAUAUUCCCCUUUUC